rnacentral:rRNA from 1 species
GUCAAAAAAAUAGGUUAAAAUAAUUAAGGGCACACAAAGGAUGCCUAGGUAGUAAGAGCCGAUGAAGGACGUGGUAAGCUGCGAUAAGCCUAGAUAAGUUGCAAUCGAACGUAAGAAUCUAGGAUUUCCGAAUGGAGCAAUCUAUUAAGAUGGAGUCUUAAUACGAAAGAGGGAACCGCGUGAACUGAAACAUCUAAGUAACGCGAGGAAAAGAAAGUAAAAACGAUACCCAAAGUAGCGGCGAGCGAACUGGGUCAAGCCUAAACCUUAAAUAUGUCAAGGAUACAGCCGUUGUAUUUAAGGGGUUGAGGGACAGAGUUGUGAAGAACUGUAAGAUAUUCAAUAUAGUGUAUUGAUGAAUUAGAAUUGUCUGGAAAGGUGAACCGCAGAAGGUGAAAGUCCUGUAUAAGUAAAUCCUUACACAUAUAACUUUGCUCCCAAGUAACAUGGAACACGAGGAAUUCUGUGUGAAUCAGUGAGGACCAAAUCUCAUAAGGCUAAAUACUCUUACUAACCGAUAGCGCAUAGUACCGUGAGGGAAAGGUGAAAAGAACCCCUGGAGGGGAGUGAAAUAGAACCUGAAAUUGUGUGCUUACAAGCGGUCAGAGCCCAUUAGGGUGAUGGCGUGCCUUUUGGAGAAUGAUCCUGCGAGUUACGUUAAACGGCGAGGUUAAGUAUAACGGAGCCGAAGGGAAACCAAGUCUUAAUAGGGCGAUAUAGUCGUUUGGCGUAGACGCGAAACCUGGUGAUCUAAACCUGUCCAGGAUGAAGCUGUGGUAAGACACAGUGGAGGUCCUAACCCACCGCCGUUGAAAAGUUGGGGGAUGAGGUAGGUUUAGGGGUGAAAAGCCAAUCGAACCAGGAGAUAGCUCGUUCUCUCCGAAAUGCAUCUAGGUGCAGCCUUGAGUGUUCAAUUAUGGGGGUAGAGCACUGAAUGAUCUAGGGGGCAUAUUGCUUACUGAAAUCAAUCAAACUCCGAAUACCAUAAUUUAUAGCUCAGGAGUGAGACUAUGGGAGUUAACUUCCAUUGUC